CAGCAGCAGCAGUCCCUGCGCAGCUCCAUUUUCACCCAUGGCCGAGCCCCAUUCCUCCAUGGCCGCCCAGCUCCCUAUCUAGAGCGCCCAGAAAUUUCCAGCAGCGAGCUCCUCCCUUGCGUUGCUGUCGGACGUCCCUGCUACUACCUCGCUCCCUCGUCGCGCAGCGAGCUCCAUCGCCGACCUGCGCAGCAAGCUGCGCGCUGCAGCAGCACGCCAUCGACGCCCGCCGUGUGCUCGCUGUCUUGCGCAGCCCAUCCGCGACGCCGUCGAAAACCGUGCUAGUGGUCGACGUCGUGCCUUGCCCGUUCGACGAAAUACCGAGCCAUGUGGACAGCCAUGCGUCUAGUCACGACCCGUUCAGGUUGAUUGAUUUAUAGUUUAUAAUACAUACGCUUUGGUUGAUGUCAGACAAUGCAUGUAUAUAUGUGGAUGUGUGUAAUAUGUUUUGGCAAUACAUGUUAGUGGGAUCGCAUUUGCGGUUAAAGAACAAGCGGUUGUUGAGGUGUGCGAUUUGUAGUUUGUCUAAUUACGUUUUGGUCGAUGUGGUGUAUAGUGGUGUUUGAUUAGAUGUGGGCAUAAAAUGUUUGGAUUAUAUGUCGUGGCAAGGUCGCAUUCGUGUUUUGGUAAA